rnacentral:rRNA from 1 species
GUAGUUGGAUUUGUGGUUGGGUUCGUCGGUCCGGCACAUUGUGCGGGUACUUGAUGGACUCGUCCAUCCUUGGGUGGAAUCUGUGUGGCAUUAAGUUGUCGUGCAGGGGAUGCCCAUCGUUUACUGUGAAAAAAUUAGAGUGUUCAAAGCAGGCUUAUGCCGUUGAAUAUAUUAGCAUGGAAUAAUGAGAUAGGACCUUGGUACUAUUUUGUUGGUUUGCGCACCGAGGUAAUGAUUAAUAGGGACAGUUGGGGGUAUUCGUAUUCCAUUGUCAGAGGUGAAAUUCUUGGAUUUUUGGAAGACGAACUACUGCGAAAGC